GACAGUGCCCUCAGGGGGUGACAGUCCCUCAGGGGGUGACAGUCCCUCAGGGGGUGACAGUCCCUCAGAAGGUGACACUCCCUCAGAGGGUGACAGUCUCUCAGAGGGUGACGGUGCCCUCAGAAGGUGACAGCCCCUCAGAGGGUGACAGUCCCUCAGAAGGUGACAGCCCCUCAGAGGGUGACAGUCCCUCAGAGGUGACAGUCCCUCAGAAGGUGACAGUCCCUCAGAGGGUGACGGUGCCCUCAGAAGGUGACAGUGCCCUCAGAGGGUGACAGUGCCCUCAGAGGGUGACAGUCCCUCAGAAGGUGACAGUCCCUCAGAGGGUGACGGUGCCCUCAGAAGGUGACAGCCCCUCAGAAGGUGACAGUCCCUCAGAGGGUGACAGUCCCUCAGAAGGUGACAGUCCCUCAGAGGGUGACG